rnacentral:rRNA from 1 species
AUUGAACGCUGGCGGCAGGCCUAACACAUGCAAGUCGAACGAGUGGCGGACGGGUGAGUAAUGUCUGGGAAACUGCCCGAUGGAGGGGGAUAACUACUGGAAACGGUAGCUAAUACCGCGUACCAUCGGAUGUGCACAGAUGGGAUGAGCUUGUAGGUGAGGUAACGGCGCACCUAGGCGACGAUCCAUAGCUGGUCUGCCAGGAGUACCAGCCACACUGGAAUGGUGACACGGUCCAGACGCGUACGUGAGGCAGCAGUGGGGAAUAUUGCACAAUGGGCUCAAGACUGAUGCAGGCAUGCCGCGUGUAUGAAGAGGGCCUUAGGGUUGUAAAGUACUUUCAGCGGGGAGGUGUUACCCGCAGAAGAAGCACCGGCGAAAUCCGUGCCAGCCGCCGCGGUAAUUC